rnacentral:lncRNA from 1 species
UCUAUGGUACCUCAUAGUUGAUCAUUGUUGAUAACUCUACUUCCUCCUUCCAAGUUCUGAGGCGAAGCUAAUGCAAUUAGUAGUGACAAUACUUACAUGCUUCAUCAUCCUAAUGAUUAUAUGGAAGCUCUAUAAAUAAUAUUAUAAUUAGCUCAUGAACUUAUUAGGCACUAUGCAAGCUAUCCAAAAUUCAGAUAGAUGGCAUACUGCGACUGAAAACAAAUCGGUAACAUUGUGCGUGCAGAGUAUAAAUACUCCCUCUGUCCUAUAAUAUAAGGGCGUUUUUGACACAUGAUGGCACUUCACAACUGAGAGAUCCAAAUAAAUAUUGCAGCUGAAAGAAUAAGGUGCCUGCAAGAAAAAGAUGAUAUAGGUGAGAGCAACAUAUCAGCCACACUUGAUACUUGAGGGAAAUGAUGGAUACCUAUGUACAACUGGAGUAACUUGUCUCACAUGAUGCAACGACAGUAUUAAGAGAGAACUGUGUAAUUUGUCUUCAGAUUAACAACGUACGUGGGUUAUUUGGCUGAGCAAUUACAACUGAAUGUCAUUGAAAUUACACUUUCUAAAUCACAACAAAGUAUAAAAAUCCACACCCACAUGGAUAAAUAUGCAAUUUUGCAUUCCCAUGAUUUAGCUACCUUUGGAUUCAACAAUGCAGUUCCUUUGUGCAAAGGAAUAAACAACAUGAGAAAAUAAAUAUUCCCAAUAGGGAGCAAUAAGUCAAAUUUGCUGGAAGUGGAUCAUGGUCACCUGGCUCAUAUUUUUGUGAGUUUAUUUUCCCUCUGACUGCAAGAUCAUUAGAACCUCUUCCAUCAGUGGAGAACAACAAAAAAGGAAAUAACUCAGUAAUUAUCUGAAAGCUAAACUGCACAAGAUGAGCAUAUAUUCGCAACAUCAAAUUAAAAAAUGGAACUGAUUAUGAAUUACUAUAAUGAGGUACGAUUUCAGUCCACACACAUACACAAGGCAUUUAUUCCCUGAGUAGGGAAUGCAUACGAAUGGGACGUACUUAAGGCCAGUUAUUUUGGGCUUAGGCUUAUGCAGAAACACAGACUAAAAUCUUUUGAUCUAUACAUGGGCAAUAGCUUAUUUUCUUUACUGUUACUCCCUCUGUUCCUAAAUAUAAGUCUUUGUAGAGAUUUCACUAUGAACCACAUACGGAUGUAUAUAGAUGCAUUUUAGAAGUAGAUUCACUCAUUUUGCUCCAUAUGUAGUCCAUACUGAAACCUCUACAAAGACUUAUAUUUAGGAACGGAGGGAGUACAAUACAUGCUUCUUUUUAUUAACCCAGUCAUGUAAGCAAACUGAGAAAGGAUUAUGUAUGAAUAUCCUCAAAGCAUUCUGCAUAAGCAGGUUCAUCUGAUAACAUGUUUUUUUUAUUUUGUCUUGCAAGCGAUUAUCAAAAAAGUUCAUCAUCCUUGGUUCAAAAGAAAUAAAAUUUAUUUGCAUUCUUAAGCACAUUUUUGUCUCUGGUUGGCUUAUUUCUCAUAUGCAGGGCCAUCCUCUCAAGUAUGAGAACUUUUAGGAAUUUGCUUGUCAAUGAAAGCAUAGGGGUGGAAUGGCUCUGUUAAGUGCUGAUCAUCAAAGCUAUUAUGAAAAUAUAUGUUUUAUGUGAGCCUUUUUUUAUCUCAUUCUUUCUUUUGGCCAUGACAAAAAAAAUCAAGUGUAUGUGGUGGCAUGCAAUCUUUUUUAACUUUAAAAAGUUUUCUUCGGAAUAUUUGUUCUUCCUAUUCUCAAGUACAUGUAAGGUGGUAGGUCUGUUCAGAAGGGGUUCCUACAAACUUUGAAAAUCCCAAGCCUUUUACAAAGCAAGUUGUUAACUUCCAGCUAACCUUGAUAGGUGGGCACAUCUUCUUGUUAUUGGAGGAUGCAGGCCCGGGCAAACCUUGGUCGAGAAUCUAAUCGGUAUCCAUUGCAGCCACGACUUUUGCUUGUCCGGAGAAGGGGCUGCACGGAAACUGAGGGAUCAAACUUGAUGGCGAGAGAAAAGAAAGAAUCACGAGCGAUAAGUGUGGCUUGAGGUGCCAACUUUUGGAUAUCUUAAACAGAGAACAGUCUCGCGCAGCGGUGUCUCCUCAAAAAAUUAAAUAAAUGUAUCUACCAUUCGCCAUUAUUUACGCAUAUUCAGGCAUCCUCUUUCAGCGCCAUCAAACACAACCAGCACAAGGGUCAUUUAACAAAAAAGGCUCUUUGUGUAACCAUGAAAACAAAGCGCAUCAUCUUAAAACCCAAAAAUGUCAAAUCAAAUGUUCUUUUCUAAACUGACAAUCAACAUGAUUGUGUCCCUAUAUCUGGGGCUUCUACCAUAGCUACGAAUCAUAAAAAGCAAAUAGAAAAUACAGUGGAAGGGAUUGACCAUCAUAUAGGGCACUUAGUAAGUGGAGAAUCAUAAUAUAUAGAUGUAUAUGAAUACAUGAAAAGUACAGAUGGUGCAGCUUUACAUCACUGAUUCAACAGUUCACACAUUAAAUUAAAACACAUGAAACACGAUUCAAGGAAGCAUAUUUGUUAUAUAAAUGUACACACAUUUUAUCAAUAAUUUCUUCCAUACUUGGAAUUCUAUAAGUAAACAUUGUAUGUGUGGUCGAUAUAAAACUGUAGAGCAUUUGCAACCAAGAAAAUUAUGUAAACAUGAUCCAGACAAUAUAGAAGUAAAUGCUCCCUCGACGAUUGCCAUCUCUAACAGUUCUUACUGCUUCAUUUAAAUAAUAUAUGCACAUAUAUCAUAAUAUAAACAGAGAGUUUUCUUAGCUACAAAAGCAAGCAGAGUACUUUUUCAUUUGACAAAUAUAAAAACAUCAAAUCAUACAGAACAAAAACCAACUGAGUCUCUUUGUAGCUCUUAUGAUUACAGGAAAGGCCACAAGGGGAGACCCGAAAGUUAGCAUUGAUUUUGUACCUGCAUGUAAUUGCAGCAAUAGAGUGCUCUGCUAUUGGUGGUGUCUUUUUUAAACAUCAUCAACGGUUAC